CUUUCAUUCAUAAAAAGAUAUAAGGUAAAGUUAUGGUGAUGGCUAAUGUUUAUGACAUCAUAACAUAACCACAGAACUUAAUCUAUAACACCUUGAUUUUGAAAGUAAAAUGUCUUCCAUGUAGUUCAGAAGGAAUAUAAGGAACCUAAAACCAGAUGCUCCACAGGGCACAGCUUUAUACGACCACAGAGGUUGAACCCUGAAUGGUUGGGGCAAGUAUGGACACAACAUUCAAGCUGGAUUCAGCUCUAAAUUUGGAUUGUGAUUAAAUAGUUGACACAGCAUAGGUUUCUGACACAGAAUGAAUGUGGUCUAAUGAACUUAAAAUUUUUUUUUUGCCUUUGAGCAAUUCACUAUGCUGUUGAAUAUUAAUCCUCUCAAAAAAUGUUUGAAGAAUUUUUCUUUUUAUUUAUGAAAUCUGAAAUGAGAAAAAUUUCUAAUGGAGUUUGCAACAAUGACUACUCAUUUAAAUACAUCAUAAAAUAUUAAAAUGUAAAAAAAGUGCUUUUUAUCACUGAAUGGUAAAGAUUGUUUUAAUUUAUCAGUUGGUAGUAAAAG
rnacentral:lncRNA from 1 species